GGCGCGGCUUUGUGGCGGCAGCGGACCGUGGAGGCCGGGUGCAGCCCCGUCGGCUCCGCGCUCUCGGCAGAAAAGGCUUUUAUACGCCCCCUGCCCAUCACUUGGAUCUGAUCUGGGUAAGGGGGGGAUUUUUUUCUGGAAGUACCCCCCCCACCCACGGUGAAGGAUUUGAGGCUGGGCUCCAAUCGAGGAGGAGGCUGCAGGGCCCGCGGGGCGCCCCCCACCCCGAGCACGCCUCCCGGGAGCCCUGGAAGGCGCAGCCCCGGGGGGCCUCCUGCACCCCCGGAGGAGGCAGCGGCGGCUUGAUCUCCAUCGCUUCACAUAACUACCAUACGAAGUAGGAGUUACUGCCCUCAUUUUCUAAAUAACAUCGUAACCACCAACAUAUAUUGAGUGUUUUAUACGAAGUAAGCACUUUACAGAUUUGCCUGUUGUGCAUAUUUCCUACCAAUGGAAUCAUACAGUAUGUGAUCCUUUGUUACUGGCUUCUUUCACUCAGCAUUUGUGUCCUCAAGCUUCAUCCAUGCUGGGCUUCCCUGGGCACAGUGGUUAAGAAUCUGCCUGACAAUGCAGGGGACAUGGGUUCGAGCCCUGGUCCGGGAAGAUCCCACGUGCCACGGAGCAACUAAGCCUGUCACCACAGCUACUGAGCUUGCGCUCUCGAGCCAGCGAGCCACAACUACUGAGCCCGCGCAUCACAACUACUGAAACUCACGCGCCUAGAGCCUGUGCUCCGCAACAAGAGAAGGCACCGCAAGGAAGAGUAGCCCCCGCUUGCCACAACUAGAGAAAGCCCGCGCUCAGCAACAAAGACCCAACGCAGCCAAAAAUAAAUAAAUUUAAAAAAAAAUUUUUUUUUAAGUUUCAUCCAUGCUGUAGCCCAUAUCAGAACUUCAUUCCUUUUUAUGACAAAUAACAUCCAUAUUUUAUUUAUCCAGUGGUCAGUUGAUAGACAUUUGGCAGUUAUGCAUAAUUCAGCUAUGAAUAUUCAUGUGUUUUGGUGUGGACGUAUGUUUUCAUUUCUUUGGAGUAAUAUAUCUGGAGUAGAAUUGCUGGGUCAUAUGGCAACUCCAUUUUAACAUUUUGAGGACCUGCCGGAGGCACGUCAUAUAGUGCCUUUUUCAACUUUAUAUUAUGGAGGUGUCCUACCAUACUGAAAAUGAGAAAGCACCCUGUACCCAUCAUCCAGGUUCAACAACAAUCAACCUUUUGCCAGUCUUGUUUCACCUGCCUUCCCUCCUCCACCGUUGUUUCCCACUGAGUAGUUUGAAGCCAGUUCAUACACUGCACUUUAUGCCAUUAACUUGGCUGAGAGGUCAACAUUUCCUUUCAUCCCAAACCUUCAGGCCAAGUCUCCUAUACCCAUAUCCUUGUGUGGAUGGGAUUUGGGGACAGUGGAGGAAUUGGGGCAUAGUCUAGAGUGAGCCAGCGUGGGGUGGGAAAGGAACACUCCUGAGUGAAGCAAGUCUAGCUACAGGAUUUGCAAAAUGAAAAUGUGGAGCCGUUGGCUCAGAAAUUACUAAGAAGUUCAAGAUAACAACAGUAGAACGUCAAACUUAACGUAGACCCUGUACAGCAGCACAAGUCAUGUGCCCAUGAGGCCAGCAAAAGGGCGCCCAAGCAGAACUGAGAACUGAUUCAUUGGCUGCAGGAAUUUCGAGCUUUGGGUGCCUAGGAGAGACACAAGCAUCCCUCACCCCCAGUCUCUGGAGAGUUGGGUCUCUCAUGGCAUGUGGGACAGUGUUUAAGUCCGUUCCAUUGGAAUCUCCAAAAAUAAGAUGACCCCAGCUGACACGUGGGUUAUAAGUACUUUUUAAAAAUAGCCAUUUGUCUUAAGCCUUCUUCCCUAAGAACCUGCGGUUGUUUUAUUUGGCCACACCAUUUUGUCCUGGACUCUUUGAGUGUACCGUGAUAUCACGGUAAAUGACAGGGCUGCAGGACAGAGGUCUGCUGGUGAGCAAACAAUCCAGAGCAGCAGCAGGACCAGGGAUGCCCAUUAGAGGCAGAUGGCCAUGGCAGACACUGGCAACCAUCAUGGCACCCAAUCCCUCCCAGCUCAGACAGAGCUCCAUUAUCCUUCUCAAAGGAUAGCCUCCACCAAGCAAAUGAAACUUAUUUCUCGUGCUUAUCUAGACUUUCAACCCACGAAUUCACCUAGAGAUUCAGAGCCUGCAGUUUGUGUUGGGAUGACACUGCAAGGAUGCACUUAUACUAACGGAACCUUGUCACGAAGGGGAACGCAACACGACUGAGAAGGAGGGAGAGAGUGGAAGAGAGGGACUCACUGAAGAGAGCAGAUAAGGACCUUGCAGCGCCUCCUGUUCUCUGUGGCAUGUUCAAUGAAUGAGUGAACAUUCAUUCAUUCGUCCAAUUAUUUGAGGACUUAUACAUAAGAGACUGAAUACCGGGCAUGAGCAAUAUAGUAGUCAACAAGACAGACACAGUUCCUACCCUUAGGAGCAGGAGAGGCAAUCACAAACCAAAGAGGAAGAAAACAUUUUACAUUGGAUUAAAAUAAUAUAACAACAACGGCAGAAAAACCCACAACAGGUCUGAGUAAAUUCGGCUGGCAGCUUUGGGGUUUCUAGACAGUGGAUCUUAAAGCAAAGACCAACUCAGGAUUUUGGCAAUUCUCAGCAGAGUGAAUGUGGAAGCAGCACAACCAGGAGAAGGCUCCAGAGGAGCCCGUGACUCAACGGUGACCCAUGAAUGACGCUCAAUAAACAGGGAUCGAAUGGACCAACCAACACUAUCAUCACCUCUGACUGGGCCUCCAUCUGAAAUUGCAGAAACCCUCUAUAGCUGCCGUGACCUUCAGUUCCCAUUUCAGACAGGCUGGUAUCCAUGAUGUCACAUGAUAGAAGAUGAUUCCAGAGAAAGACUGGCCAAGAGGCUCCUGGAGGGAGCUAUGGCAGACAAGACUGGGUGUGGUUUUUCUUUAAUUAUUGUACCUGUUUUUUCUGUUCUUUCUUGGCUCUGUUCACAUCCCCACCCCAGCACCAGUGCAGGAAAGCAAAACAAAAACAAAACAUUAUCGCAGAGUUUGAGACAAGAUGGCUGGCUGGUUCCCUCUCUGCUUGUAAUUAAUGCCAAAAAUGUUCAUGACUUGCCUUGGCCACAAAGGUAAAUAAAAUCAGGCAGUCUGAUUAUUUGGCUACUAAUUUCCUUCUUCGUUUUUUUUUUUUUUUUUUUCCUCCCCGUGUCCUUAAAUUAAUUCCAGAGUUCCUCCAGAUUUCUCGUUGCUAAGCUAUAAAAUUCCAAUUUUUCAGCGCCCAUGCUGAUUGGCAAGGAGGCUCCGGGCAGUUCCAAUCAGAAGCAGGUUGCUGAAAGGAACAUCCACAUUGUAGCUUGCCCUGGGGUAUUGGAAUUUUCUGCCUGAUGUUAUGAACCAUCAAAGUCUUUGUCUAACUGUGCAAAACCCGUUCUCUUGAUCUUGUCUGCCUCUCUCUGGAGUGCAGGCUGUUGGGGGGAUGCCAGGGGUCCUGGCAUUUCCCACUGGUCCUGGAGGAAUAGGGAGUCCCUGGGUCUCCAGGUUGGGGUCAGCGACAGAAAUGCCCAUGGCCUGUCCACGGUUGACCAAAGAUGACAGCAUGGUGCCCUGCCACGGGCUGGGACAUGCCUCAAUCCUCCCCUGACUGACCUCUCCCGUGCCAUCUCUUAAGCUUGGUGAAAGGCUGAAGGGGGUUGAGGAAAAGUAGGUGCCACUGGAUGUGGGGUUGUUGCGGAGAGGCUGCAUUUAUCAAGGACUUUAAAACAUGUAGACGGUAAGGGCGCCGUGGAGGGCCAUUCUGGUGUUUCACCUCCAGAAUCCUGAUGCAAGCAGCCACCGUGAACUGAGCUCCUACUUUGCGCCAGAAACUUUAUUUUUAUUUUUUAAACCACUUUAUUGAGGUAUGAUUGACAUAUAAAAACCUAUCUAUAUUUAAUGUAUACAACUUGUUGAGUUUGGAGAUAAGUAUACACCCGUGAGACACAGAGAACAGACUUGUGGUUGCCAAGGGAGAGGGGGGUGGGGGAGGGAAGGAUUGGGAGUUUGGGAUUAGCAGAUGCAAACUACUACAUGUAGAAUGGAUAAACAACAAGGUCCUGCUGUAUAGCACAGGGGACUAUAUUCAAUAUCCUGUGAUAAACCGUAAUGGAAAAGAAUGUUUAAAAAAGAAUGUAUACAUACGUGUAACUGAAUCACUUUGCUGUACAGCAGCAAUGAACACAACAUUGUCAAUCAAUUAGAGUUCAAUUAAAAAUAAAAAUAAAAAAUAAGUAUAUACCUGUGAAACUACCAUCACAAUCUAUGCCAUAAAUAUAUCCAUCACGUCCAAAAAUUUCCUCCCACCUUCUUUACUAUUCUUUUUUCUUGCGAUGGGAACAUUUAACAUAAGAUCUACCCUCUUGGUGAAAUUUUAAGUGUACAAUACAGUACUGUUAACUAUCAUUAUCAUGCUGUACAUUAGAUCUCCAGAACUUAGUCAUCUUGCAGACCUGAAGCUUUGUACCCCUUGACCAAUAUCUCCCCAUUUCCCCCUCCUCCCACCCCCUGGAAAUCCCCAUUCUAUUCUCUGGUUCUCUGAGUUCGACUAUUUUAGAUUUCUCAUAUAAGUGGUAUCAUGGAGUGUUUGUCCUGUGUCUGGCUUAUUUCACUUAACCUAAUGUCCUCAAGGUCCAUCCAUGUGUUCACAUAGUUCAGAAUUUCCUUCUUUUUAAGGCUGAAUAUGCCAUUGCAUGUACCACACUUUCUUUCUCCAUUCAUCUGUCAGUGGACAUUUAAGUUGCCGCCAUGUCUUGGCUAUUUUGCUAGAAACUUUACACACACAUCUCCUCCCAUCCUGAAACUCCCACCGGACAGACAGAGAACAUGAUGGACGUCUGCUGGUUUUCCUUGCACAGCUUUAUCUUUCACCGACAGGGGAGCUGUGCCACAGGGGAAAUCAUGUGACCCAAGCCUGGCCACAGUGAUUGGCUCUAGGAUGGGCACAUAACCAAGUUGGGCCAAUCAGAAUCAUCCUUGUGUCUUUUUUUUU